GCAAACUUGGUCAUUUAGAGGAAGUAAAAGUCGUAACAAGGUUUCCGUAGGUGAACCUGCGGAAGGAUCAUUACAAGGGUAAUGUGCAUGGCCCCUUGGGCGGCACGGUAAACCUAUCCAUCCACUGUGUGCACCCAUUUGAGCUGGCUCGGGAGGAGGAAAGGGGGGGAGCAAGGAUUCGUCUUUUCUCCUCUCCUUUUCUCUCUUCCGACAGCUCCAAAUCUUUUUUCUUCUCCGAUUUACUGCUUUGUCUGAAGAUUUGAUUACAUAUCAUAAUGUACAAAAUACAACUUUCAACAACGGAUCUCUUGGCUCUCGCAUCGAUGAAGAACGCAGC
rnacentral:misc_RNA from 1 species